rnacentral:rRNA from 1 species
GACGAACGCUGGCGGCGUGCUUAACACAUGCAAGUCGAACGGAAAGGCCCUGCUUUUGUGGGGUGCUCGAGUGGCGAACGGGUGAGUAACACGUGAGUAACCUGCCCUUGACUUUGGGAUAACUUCAGGAAACUGGGGCUAAUACCGGAUAGGAGCUCCUGCUGCAUGGUGGGGGUUGGAAAGUUUCGGCGGUUGGGGAUGGACUCGCGGCGUAUCAGCUUGUUGGUGGGGUAGUGGCUUACCAAGGCUUUGACGGGUAGCCGGCCUGAGAGGGUGACCGGCCACAUUGGGACUGAGAUACGGCCCAGACUCCUACGGGAGGCAGCAGUGGGGAAUAUUGCACGAUGGGCGGAAGCCGGAUGCAGCAACGCCGCGUGCGGGAUGACGGCCUUCGGGUUGUAAACCGCUUUCGCCUGUGACGAAGCGUGAGUGACGGUAAUGGGUAAAGAAGCACCGGCUAACUACGUG